rnacentral:ncRNA from 1 species
UCAAAAGCGACGACGGAGAAAAGUAUGCUAUUUAUUACCUUUCAGGGAGGAAGAGUCUCGACUGAAAACUCUUCCAUGUGUGGUAAUAGCUGAAGUUCCCUCCCGAGCUGCCAGCUGAACGUCAUCAAGUAGGCUAGGACGGUUCUUCACCGUUAACAGGAAGGGGGUAUCGGAUAUCAUUCCCGUACCUUUGUUGAGUGGGCCUUUGGCCUAAGUCGGGUGGUAACGCGAGAAUUAAACUUCUCGUCCCUUCA